CGUAUGGAGAGCCCCAUGGGUUAGGGAACCCUUCAGCUUCAUCUUCAGAGACUUUUCGUAUGUAGCCUUCUCCUGAAGUCAAUGGGCGUGGAGGAGGCAGACAGUGGGGAAGAAGAAUGCCGGUCCCAGCCCAGAAGGCUUCGUGCUUGCCCGAUAAAUUGGACUCCAUAACGCAGCUGGCUUUGUCUCCAUUGCUAAAAAUGGCCAGAAGACUUUUGACAGAUCAACUUCUCCCUCCAAAGCGGGGAGGCAGCAGUAGGACGCGAGCGCAGGAGGUGCCGCUCUCCAGGGAUCCAUCUCUACCUGUUUACAGGUUUGCUGCACUAAUUAACAGAUAAGUCAUCUGUUCCGACUCUUAAUCCACUCCUAGACUCUGUUCAUUGAUGAAAGCCAUAGACUGUUCAUUGAUGAAAGUUACAUGGUAGCAUGAAUUAACUGAACCUCCCACCAGAAAAGCGGGGGCAUGGGAUCCUUUGACGCUGGAACAGCUGGAGUGUGGCACCAUGUUCUUCAAAGCUACCUCUUCGGGCUCUUUUUUCCCCAUCAGACCUGGUGCUGGGGCAGCUGCCUUUGUGGGGGAAGAUUGAGUGUAGCUGCCGGUGAGAAAAACAAAGCUCUGGGCCCCACCUCGGCACACCGAAAUGAACUUGCUACCUCUGCUCUCUGCGGCGGUGCCUGCGCGAGGCUCCGGAGCUGGGCUGUGGGGCAGCGACGUGUUGUUUUCAAAAUUCUGUAACUUUUCAUAAACGACUCCGGAAACAGCUGCCCAGGGGUAAAGAACAAACUUUUCCGUGCGCGCGGUGGAGGUGGCUCGUCGCCGUGUGGGGGGAGGAUGUGAUGGGGGUGAGGGGGAGGUUGGUUUGCCUCACGCAGCAGCUUCACAAGGGUUUUUCAAAAUCCUCUGAAAAACACAGGUCCAGGCAUUGCCUUAUCUGUUACACUGAUGCUGAUAGAUUGAGGCCAAAAUUCCUUCGCCGGACAACAUCCCUCUCUUCCUUUUGCCCUGAAGAGGACUAACGUUGCAGCUGUACGACCUUACAUGGGUUUACCUUGCUGUGUUGGAGGAGGAGAAGAACAUUCCUUGCUUGUGCAGAGAGCACCUGGGGUUCAGUCCAAAUAGACUUAAUACCAAACCCUUCAUACCCACUGGAAUGAGUUUCUAGAGGGACUAUGGCAAUAUAUUGUCUUUGUUAGGGCUCUUCAGAAGGAGAGCACUGAGAGGACUGGAGGAAGUCUUGCUGGCAGACAUGUUCUGAGAUGAAAAAAGGUCACCAGGCCCCAGAGUAGGCUAAGAAUUGUACAAGCCUAAUAAGACAAUCCGUGCUCUGGAUUUAAUCAUCUUGGCAUGUGAGCAGACACCCAGCAAACCCCUGUGGGAUAGGAGUGGGUGGAAUAUGGUGACACCCACACCUUUAUGUGGUCUGACAAGAAGCAGCAAUUCAGCCUUAAGCUGUUGAUCUUGGAUGGGAGCGUUAACUUGAUUAAUGAAUGCCCUCUUUGCGUGUGGACUAUGUGCACCGACAGGACUCCGUGUCCAGCUCUAAGUGUUCCCUCUGCAUGUGUCAGACCCCAACAUGCUGAUGCAAACCCCGACUGGAGUGUUACUGGGGACCUCUGCAUGAGGAGAAUCCCAUUUGCAAGCUGCUGGCCCCGUGCAGGACACAGGAUUACUCCAUUACGGCAUUGCAAGAUCAAAAUGUGUUAAAAAGCACAAGGAAAGUAAGGCAGCUGAAGGUACUGGUGGAAGAUACUGUGACUGUGUAGCUUUGAGAUGGACACACUGGGGGAGAUGGUGAUUGUAUGAAUAAAUUUUGUAUUUUCAGCCUUGUCUGCCAAACAGAACACUGUAAGUCAAUACAAAAGAUUUGUACAUGUGGGUUAUUCCUCCACCCCCUUAAAGUCCUCUCCAGGGGCACUCUGUGGGCAUUCCCUCCCUUCCCUCCUCCUGGCCACACGUCCUUAGCUCUCCUCAUCACAGGGUUUUUCCAUGAUGCUUCCAGAGCUGGUUCUAGCUGCCGGAAUUGCUGGCUUAGUUACCUUUGCAAAGGUUUUGGGAUUUUUUUUAUUUUAUUUUUUUUAACGGCAUGUGUCUUGCAGGAUGUGUGUAGCUGCAGUUUAUUAGUCUUCGCCGUGUUCAAAGGUGAAGUGAAAUCCUGCCACCCGACAAGGGCUGUGGGGGCAGAGGUGGGGGUGUUUACUGCACCCUGUGGCGUGGCCCUGCUAAUCCUGUGACCCGGGGAGCCUGAAAUGCCGUCCCAAAAACUGGGGCAGGCAGUGCCCUUUUCCCCCUAGGGCAAAGGGUAAUUCCGUGCACUGGGCUGGGAAGCACUGGAGACCCCAGACAGACUUAUUUACAUCUUGUCACACCGUGAUUAAUGGCCGUGCUCACAUGCUCUGUUGCAGCACGGUGGUGAUUUAGACUCUUACCUGUCAUCACUGCAAUUUCGUGCACUUUAAAUUCUGGAUGUGUUUGUCCCGGCAGAGAGCACCUGCUUCCAGCGAGGAGCAGGUUCUUGGCCGUCUUGUGACCUGCUGGCUUUCAACUCCCAUCUCGUGGUGUGUCCCCUCAAAGCCCCUUCUUUCUGCCUGCUCAGAGAUCAGGUUAUCGGGUGAAUUCUGCCCGUGUCCAAGUGCAGGAUGCAGCUUUGAAGAAAUAGAGUUGUUCCUUAAGUCUGAUUUUAAAAAGCAGAAUAUGAAAAUAACACAUGCUGUUAUUCCCAAUGGACAGUGGGAACUGAGACACUGAUCUCACCAACAUGUAGCCUGAAGGCAGUGUCAGCCUCGGGCUGGUAUUUCAGUCUUUAUGGCAACAAAACCAGGUUCAAAUAACCUUCUAUUAAUGCAGAUCUCAAUAUACAAACUUACUUGAGGUAAGUUUUCUAAAGGUUCAAAAAGAAAAAAGCUGGGAUAUCUCUAUCAUCAUUUGUUCUCCUGGCAUAUGGAGAUGCAAUACACAAUUGUAUUAAUCCAGGACUAAUUAAUUUACAAAUCUAUUAUCCAUAUGUUAUGAGUAGCGGCUUUAAGAGUAUCCCUUGUAGUUAAUCACUGCACUUGUUUUUAGCAGUUUUUAAGGGCUUGCCUCUGUAAUGUUAGUUGCAUGUAAGAAAUCUGACAUCUGUCUGGACAGUAUCUAAGUGCGUUUUUGUCUUCUACAAUGCUCGAAUAAAGCCCUUAAGUUAUUAAUUA